rnacentral:rRNA from 1 species
UUGAUUAUGGCUCAGGACGAACGCUGGNGGCNCGCUUAACACAUGCAAGUCGAACGAGAGAAGAGAAGCUUGCUUUUCUGAUCUAGUGGCGGACGGGUGAGUAACACGUGAGCAAUCUGCCUUUCAGAGGGGGAUACCGAUUGGAAACGAUCGUUAAUACCGCAUAACAUAAUUGAACCGCAUGAUUUGAUUAUCAAAGAUUUAUCGCUGAAAGAUGAGCUCGCGUCUGAUUAGCUAGUUGGUAAGGUAACGGCUUACCAAGGCGACGAUCAGUAGCCGGACUGAGAGGUUGAUCGGCCACAUUGGGACUGAGACACGGCCCAGACUCCUACGGGAGGCAGCAGUGGGGAAUAUUGCACAAUGGAGGAAACUCUGAUGCAGCGAUGCCGCGUGAGGGAAGAAGGUUUUAGGAUUGUAAACCUCUGUCUUCAGGGACGAAAAAUGACGGUACCUGAGGAGGAAGCUCCGGCUAACUACGUGCCAGCAGCCGCGGUAAUACGUAGGGAGCGAGCGUUGUCCGGAAUUACUGGGUGUAAAGGGAGCGUAGGCGGGAUCGCAAGUCAGAUGUGAAAACUAUGGGCUUAACCCAUAAACUGCAUUUGAAACUGUGGUUCUUGAGUGAAGUAGAGGUAAGCGGAAUUCCUAGUGUAGCGGUGAAAUGCGUAGAUAUUAGGAGGAACAUCAGUGGCGAAGGCGGCUUACUGGGCUUUAACUGACGCUGAGGCUCGAAAGCGUGGGGAGCAAACAGGAUUAGAUACCCUGGUAGUCCACGCCGUAAACGAUGAUUACUAGGUGUGGGGGGACUGACCCCUUCCGUGCCGCAGCAAACGCAAUAAGUAAUCCACCUGGGGAGUACGACCGCAAGGUUGAAACUCAAAGGAAUUGACGGGGGCCCGCACAAGCAGUGGAGUAUGUGGAUUAAUUCGAAGCAACGCGAAGAACCUUACCAGGUCUUGACAUCGUAUGCAUAGCUCAGAGAUGAGUGAAAUCUCUUCGGAGACAUAUAGACAGGUGGUGCAUGGUUGUCGUCAGCUCGUGUCGUGAGAUGUUGGGUUAAGUCCCGCAACGAGCGCAACCCUUACUGUUAGUUGCUACGCAAGAGCACUCUAGCAGGACUGCCGUUGACAAAACGGAGGAAGGUGGGGAUGACGUCAAAUCAUCAUGCCCCUUAUGACCUGGGCCUCACACGUACUACAAUGGCUGUCAACAGAGGGAAGCAAAGCCGCGAGGUGGAGCAAACCCCUAAAAGCAGUCUUAGUUCGGAUUGUAGGCUGCAACCCGCCUACAUGAAGUCGGAAUUGCUAGUAAUCGCAGAUCAGCAUGCUGCGGUGAAUACGUUCCCGGGCCUUGUACACACCGCCCGUCACGCCAUGGGAGUCGGUAACACCCGAAGCCUGUAGUCUAACCGCAAGGAGGACGCAGUCGAAGGUGGGAUUGAUGACUGGGGUGAAGUCGUAACAAGGUACCC